GUGCCGGUGUGACCACACAGGACUUUGGCAGCUCCCCAGGACUGACCCCUUGGAGGAGUGAUCAUCCUGGAGGCAAGCUGUUUUGCAGCCCUGCAGUCACUGAUGCUAGCUCCUGACAUCCUCCAUCACUGCCUCUUCUCCAGAGUCACGUAUAAACCAAAACUUUUCUCUGUAAGGACAGGAUGGAGGUUCACAGCCUGAAUGUUGAACUGGGACAGGAAGUGGGUCCAGGUCCCAGGAGAAGCCUUCAGCCAGAGGGCCAGCUAUACCCCUUUGGGUCUGGAUCCUGCGCUCUGCCCUGGCUCUGCUCCUCCUGAUGUCUGCCCCCCUCAUCACCCUCGUCCUGGAGAGACGCACCCACUGGGCCACCAGAGCCAGCCCCACUGGGGCAGCCUAGAGACCUCGCUGCCCCCAUUGCCCUCUGAUGUUCUCACUGUCCCGGCUCCCAGCUGUCCGCAGGCCCUUUCCCCAUUUCCAAGCAUGACCCAUAUCAACCUCAGGCUCCUGCUGUGGCUGGGUUCAAGCCAGCAGCCUGGAGGGAUGCCCCAGGGCCAUGCUGCCAUUGCUGGGCUUUACUUCACUCACCCCUGCUCUGUCCUCACUUCCCUGAUGAAGGGUAAUUGACUCUCUCAUCCCACUAGGUGCAUAAAACCCCACAGUCAUGUGGCUGACCCUCCUGCUCGCAGAAAGCAGCCUCCUUGCUGCAUGGUCCACCCCUGCGGCUCUGGAGGACACAGGGCCUGGUUUCACAUGCUCCACACACUGAUGCUCUCCAGGUCCUGCAUCACUGCAGUGCUUCCCAUCACCCAAGGCUGGUGCUGGCAGCCAAGGGCAAGUCCCUGGGCACUGCUGGGGGGUUACGGUGUCCUGUGUGGAGGCACUUUCAUCUGCAGGGGGUCUGUGGAAGUGGAGCUAUAAAGGAUUUGUUCAAAAGUCGUCAGUU
rnacentral:lncRNA from 1 species